ensembl:lncRNA
CAUGCUCCCAUGACCGCUCGGUGGAAACGCGCCAUCACAGAGGAAUCUGAAAUAUCGUUUGGUCAAGGUACAGUGACCCAAAGUAGGCCAUGUCGUUUGUGAAAGCUGCCUCGGAGAGCUGUUCACCUGUCCGGUGUAGGCCUACAAGAAAAUCUGAGGUCAAGCGACAACGGAUGAUGGGCACUUAUGUGCCAUAUAAUCAGAGUCCUUACAGAAACUGUAACUACGCCGAACAGUGGAGAGCCAGCCCAUUGCAGACCCUGCGUGCCGCUCCAGGUUUUCAAGUAGGCUAUUGCACCUCCAGGAGGCGUGCUAGGAAUUUUCUGGAUCCUGCGAUUGUCCACAAAUGGAAGACUGAUGACUGAUGAGAGUCUUUUCCAGAAGUUACCCCAGGGUGGAAAGAUUGCAAUUUGCAGAGAUAUGCUGGCAGAUUCCCUAGGGCACUUUCUUUAGGGCACAAAGUAUGGCAAUUACAGUUUGAUGCAUAUGGAGAGUUACACCAUUAUAGACCUUCAGCUUGUUCAGGUGCGUUACACUUUAUUUUUUGUCAGGAUUACAACAUGUUGAACCAUGAAUCAGGAUUACUAUGCGUCAUGUUCAUCUCAUCUGCAAUUUUAUGAACUCGCCAGCAGAGCAAUGAGGUUUGUAGAAGAAACUGGGCAAACAUGCGCAAUCCAAGGACUGAGGUUUUGAAGAAGUGGCUGCGCAGUAGGGCUGCAAGAUUAUAGCCAAAAUGAUUAUCACGAUUAUUUUGAUCAAUAUUGAUAUGUAUAUAUAUAUAUAUAAUAAAUGUUCUCAUUCUGAUUGCUGUAGUACUUGCCAAUGGUGGGCUUUUACGUACUACGGGUCAUUAUUUGUUGAUAUUUUGCAUUAAAGCAAAGCAGGAUGAAAUUAAUCGAAAAAUAUUUUUGUAGAUUUUUGGUGAAUAUUUUGAACAAUUAAUUUCAUCCUGUUUCACUUUCUUUCUUUUUUGUGCGUGUUGUUGUUAAACACCUGAUAAUGGGCUAG